CGCGAUUCGCCCUUCGGGGUGCAGCAGGCGCGAAAACUCUACAAUGCAGGCAACUGCGAUAGGGGAACAUCGAGUGAUCCUCAUAUUGGGGGUCUGUCCACCCGUCUAAAAAACGGGUGUUAGCAAGGGCCGGGCAAGACCGGUGCCAGCCGCCGCGGUAAUACCGGCGGCUCGAGUGGUGGCCGAUAUUAUUGAGUCUAAAGGGUCCGUAGCCGGCUUUGCAAGUCUCUCGGGAAAUCCAGCGGCUUAACCGUUGGUCGUCCGGGGGGUACUACAUUGCUUGGGACUGGGAGAGGUAGGAGGUACUCAGGGGGUAGGAGUGAAAUCCUGUAAUCCUUUGGGGACCACCGGUGGCGAAGGCGUCCUACCAGAACAGGUCCGACGGUGAGGGACGAAAGCUAGGGGCACGAACCGGAUUAGAUACCCGGGUAGUCCUAGCCGUAAACGAUGCUCGCUAGGUGUCACAACAGUCGUGAAUUGUUGUGGUGCCGUAGGGAAGCCGUGAAGCGAGCCACUUGGGAAGUACGACCGCAAGGUUGAAACUUAAAGGAAUUGGCGGGGGAGCAC
rnacentral:rRNA from 1 species